UAGAGCUACUCCAGCGACAAGAGGCCCUUACAAGAUGUCAACAACCCCAAUAUAGUGCAGGUGGAAAGCGGGAUUUGAACAGCUGUUCUUUACUGUUGGCUGCAAUUAUUACCUUUAUAUCUCUGCAUUAGCAGUCAUACGAGAUUUUAUUUUAAUUCUUUUCUUAUAAUUUCAGAGCCGGUAUGUACUAGUUGUAUUAGCUAUGGGGCGUCAUUUUACGAAAUCCCCGAGGAUUCUAAGUCAUGGCAUAACGCUAAGACAAGCUGUGAAUGCUUAGGAGGUAAACUUCUUGAGGCUGAAACUGCAGAGGAAAACAGUUUUAUCAAAAACGAACUCAGUAAUACCGGAAGUAACGGGUACUGGCUAGGAGGUUAUAGUUUCAACAAGAAUGGAAGUUUUGAAUGGAUCAGUAAUCCUGGGCAACCUAUGACAUAUAAUGACAUGCACUCAAGUCAACCAAACGCUCCGACUACACAGCUUUGUCUUAUGUACUGGGGAGGUUUCGACUACGCUUGGGGUGAUGGUACUUGUGAAAUACCAUCACCUUAUGUAUGUGAAUUUCUUAAAACAUAGAUAAGCAUGGUCAUAUAUACAUUAUAAAAUUCUUUUUAAAUUGUUACUUGGAUGGAGAGUUGUCUCAUUGGCACUCACACCACAUCUUCCUAUAUAUAUUAUAGAAUUAAUAGAAAUUUACAGAAUAUAACGAAAUUGUGCAAUGGCAGUGCGUAUGAAUGACCAAAAGUGGUGAAUGGUAUUUUCAACUGAAUGUUGUACUCAUGGAACAUUUGUAGCUGUUACUUUAUUUAAAUAAGAAGAAACCCGGUAAAUUGCGAGCAUGUGUUGACUCUUUUAAAAACCAUUCUGAAAAUUAAAAGAAAUUAAGGAAUUACACUACUUUUUUUCUUGCUGCAUUACCAAAUUCAUUUUUCUGAAUUUAAUCUAGGUUUUUCCUCUUUAAAAGCAAAGUAAGAAACCAUUGAAAUCAGAGAUGGCGUAAGAAUCUUUUACUGCCUUGAUCGGGAAAAUAAAUAGGCAGUAGGUGCCAGGGGCCGUCGUAAACUUGCAGUGAGGUGAAAUUAUGUUUUAUUUUACUUAGGUUUCACUGUGUCUUUAAGAUAAAGAACAGCAAAAAAAGCGCAAAACAAACCCAUUACAAUUGAUUAAAUAAAAUUUCUGUAACUCUAUGGAAAUUUAUCCCUUUUCGAACCCAUUGUACAAAAAAAAUUAAUCAACGUGUGGUUGCUGGUGAUCUCAAAAGAUCAUUGGAUGAUUUUAAGGGUCAUGACCUUUUUGUCUGACUGGAUGAACCAAAAUAUGAUAACAGGUGUUAAUGAAAUUGACAACUUCGUGCAAUGUGAAAGGCACUCGAAGGGGAUAUUCGGUAAACAAAAAAAGAAAUGUCUUUUUAAUCAUUAGAGAAACAGAUUCUUACAUAGUUACUCGUGGAUUAUCGGAUUUAUCCAAUCUCGAUAGUUAAAUUAUAAAUUUUAAAGUACUCGCCGAGGCGGCUCGAACUUUAAAAUUGAUAAUUUAACUAUCUCGAUUGGAUAAAUCCGAUAAUCCACUGGUAUCAAUGUAAGAAUCUAUAUAUAUUGAAUGACUCUACCGUUGAAAACUUUAUUCAUCCCUAUUUGAUAGCAAAGAAUCUCCAAUUAUUUUGUAAAGGUAUAACAACCAUGUAGAACUUUAAUUUUUAACUAUAAAUCAGUUACAUCAGACUUCAGUGUAGAAAGUAACUCUCGUUCAACAUCUGAGCUUUCUUAUGACAUAAUACUUUACGUAAAUUCUUUAGAAUGAAUUUACAGGAUCUUCAUUUCUGUACAGAAUCACAUGAAAUUUGUUUACUUUAUUCAAACCAAUGUUGUCCAAAUGAGAUUCUUUUGCAAACUUCACCGUAAUUAAGCUUAGUCAU